rnacentral:rRNA from 1 species
UACGUAGGUGGCAAGCGUUGUCCGGAAUUACUGGGCGUAAAGCGUGCGCAGGCGGUUUGUUAAGUCCGUUGUGAAAGCCCCGAGCUCAACUUGGGAAUUGCAGUGGAUACUGGCAGGCUGGAGUACGGUAGAGGAAGGUGGAAUUCCCGGUGUAGCAGUGAAAUGCGUAGAGAUCGGGAGGAACACCAGUGGCGAAGGCGGCCUUCUGGACCAGUACUGACGCUCAUGCACGAAAGCGUGGGGAGCAAACAGG